CCCACUAGUUGUGUGUAUGUAACCCCAUGCUAUUUAUGGGAGUGGACUGAGCUGGAGGUACUUGCUAGGUUGGUAUUUCUGCCAGCAGUCUGGACCAGCACAGUAGCCAAACCUAACAUCCCUUCCAAAGGUGGAAAAUAAAUGAUAAAUGGAGAGAAAGAGAAAUAGUAGCUGAGGUUGGAGAGAUCACAGUUAACCAGAACAGAGAGAGGCACCUGGAUGUCAAUAAGAAACUCCCACAUCUGUAAUGUCAUUAUAACAGCAGGGUUGAGGUGAAGAUCACAUAAGGAAACACCCGCCAGCAUCCAUGAAAGUGCCCUGGGCAGAUGCCUACGAGGAAGGAAAUGGUCAUGGUGUCGUGGGAAGAACACACACUGGGGUUUGGGGGGAGGGAUGGGAGACCCUGCUGAGGGACUUUCUUCUCCAAACCUGUCUGCUCACGUCACUAUGGAGCCAGCAAGGGCAGACAGCCACGUGGCCGAGGAAUGGGGGCAGCAGCACUUCCAUCAUAAGACAGAAGACGGAAUGAAAUGGUGAUGUCAGGGCCGAGCUCUGCGCCCACCUGUGUUUCCUACGCUCCGGGCGUUCGCGAGCACCUGCAUCACAUUUGCCACAUCAGCAUUUGAAAUACUUUCAUUCACAUUUGUACUUUAGCCACAUCUAUACAAUAAGGGCCACAAAAUCACAGAGUU